ensembl:snoRNA small nucleolar RNA SNORD97
AUGCCCAGUGAUUAUAAAAAGACGCGUUAUUCUGAGGAGCAAAACCUGCUGUCUGUCUCCCAUCCUCCUGUUCUUCAUUUACUCGUCUUUCUCUCCUACCCCUUUUCUUGUUCAUCCUUAUUCUUCUCUCUGCCUCUAGCAGCAGGUCCGCUGACUGCGAUUAUGAGAUAUGAGGGCAU